GACGGAGGAUGCAAGUGUUAUCCGGAAUCACUGGGCGUAAAGCGUCUGUAGGUGGUUUCAAAAGUCCACUGUUAAAGAUUGAAGCUUAACUUCAAAAAUGCCGUGGAAACUUUGAAACUUGAGUAUGAUAGGGGUAGAGGGAAUUUCCAGUGGAGCGGUGAAAUGCGUAGAUAUUGGAAAGACCACCAAUGGCGAAGGCACUCUACUGGGCCAUUACUGACACUGAGAGACGAAAGCUAGGGGAGCGAACGGG
rnacentral:rRNA from 1 species